rnacentral:rRNA from 1 species
AUUGAACGCUGGCGGCAGGCCUAACACAUGCAAGUCGAGCGGAUGAGAAGAGCUUGCUCUUCGAGUUAGUGGCGGACGGGUGAGUAAUGCCUAGGAAUCUGCCUGGUAGUGGGGGACAACGUUUCGAAAGGAACGCUAAUACCGCAUACGUCCUACGGGAGAAAGCAGGGGACCUUCGGGCCUUGCGCUAUCAGAUGAGCCUAGGUCGGAUUAGCUAGUUGGUGAGGCAAUGGCUCACCAAGGCGACGAUCCGUAACUGGUCUGAGAGGGUGAUCAGUCACACUGGAACUGAGACACGGUCCAGACUCCUACGGGAGGCAGCAUGGGGGAAUAUUGGACAAUGGGCGAAAGCCUGAUCCAGCCAUGCCGCGUGCGUGAAGAAGGUCUUCGGAUUGUAAAGCACUUUAAGUUGGGAGGAAGGGCAGUAAGCGAAUACCUUGCUGUUUUGACGUUACCAACAGAAUAAGCACCGGCUAACUCUGUGCCAGCCGCCGCCGUAAAAC